rnacentral:rRNA from 1 species
UACGAAGGGGGCGAGCGUUGUUCGGAAUUACUGGGCGUAAAGGGCGCGCAGGCGGCUCUGAAAGUCAGAUGUGAAAGCCCCGGGCUUAACCUGGGAAUUGCAUUUGAUACUCUGGAGCUUGAGUACGGGAGAGGAGAGUGGAAUUCCCAGUGUAGAGGUGAAAUUCGUAGAUAUUGGGAAGAACACCGGUGGCGAAGGCGGCAACCUGGUCCUUGACUGACGCUGAGGCGCGAAAGCGUGGGGAGCAAACAGG